CUGGGCCGAGGCUUCCCUAGCGAAAACCUUGUCUCCCUCCAUUUCGUCCCUUGCCUGCCUUCCCAGGAGAGACGUGGCCGAUAGAAGCCGAGUGGCAGUAACUCUAAGUUGGAGUUACACGGUGGAGAAGGAAGCACUGACUCAGACUCGGCUCUUCCCUUUCUUCCUGCCCCAGCCACUCAAGCAGGUGCUUGGGUUCUAUGCUGAUGACCUUGUUGGAGAGAUGUGAUUGGUCAGAAAAGCAGCAACUGGGCUGGGCACGGUGGCUCACACCUGUAAUCCCAGCACUUUGGGAGGCCAAGGUGGACAGAUCAUUUGAGCCCAGGAGUUCAAGACCAGCUUGGGCAACAUGGCAAAACCCCCGUCUCUACAAAAAAAAACACAAAAACUAGCCAGGCAUUGUGGUAUGCCCCUGAAGUCCCAGCUACUUGGCAGGCUGAGGCAGGAGGACGGCUUAAGCCCAGAGGUGGAGAUUGCAGUGAACCGAGAUCACGACACUGUACUCCAGCCUGGGUGACAGAGCGAGACCCCAUCUCAAAAAAUAAAUAAAUAAAAGUAAUUAAAAAAAAGAAGGAAAGAAAAAAGAAAAGCAGCUGUUGCUCGCAAGCUUCUUGGUUUGUGUUCCCUAAAUUUCCAGAUGAUAGGGGCAUUUCAGAGUACACCCUUCUUCAGUGUGUUGGUUAUCUUCCAUUCCUGCCUCCACACCUACUCUGCAUCUCCACCCUUAUCUGUGCCCCUGAGGGCUGACCUGUAUGAAUUGCAUAAUUGGGCCCUCUUGCCUUUUGGCUUCUGCUUAGAUUUGGUCAGC
rnacentral:lncRNA from 1 species